ensembl:snoRNA
UUGGCCCUGAAUCAAGGCCAGCAGUUUGCUGAAGCUGUUGGUUUCAAGCAGGAGCCUAAAGAAUUAUCUUUCUAUGGUCUGUUGGUCAUUUCAUAACUUCGGAAAUGUAGUGGUCAAUUCGUUAGAAAGAAACAUUA